rnacentral:rRNA from 1 species
CACGUAGGGUGCGAGCGUUGUCCGGAAUUAUUGGGCGUAAAGAGCUCGUAGGCGGUGUGUCGCGUCGGCCGUGAAAACCUGCAGCUUAACUGUGGGCUUGCGGUCGAUACGGGCAUCACUGGAGUUCGGCAGGGGAGACUGGAAUUCCUGGUGUAGCGGUGAAAUGCGCAGAUAUCGGGAGGAACACCAAUGGCGAAGGCAGCUCGCUGGGACGGUACUGACGCUGAGACG